CCCAUACAGCUGGAUCUUAUGGAGAUAUUUUUUCAAUUGAGGUUCCCUCCUUUCAGAUGACUCUGGCUUAUGUCAAGUUGACAUAAACUAACCAGGACAAAGACAAGGGUGGACAGACCUUUGAACUGAAGCAAGGUGAUUUCCCACCACGUAUCUGAUAAGGGGUUAAGAUCCUUCAUAUAUAAAGUGGCCUAUGAUUUAAUAACAAUAAGUAGCCCAAUAGAGAAUGGACAAAGCUGGGGACGGUGGUGCCCACCUGAAAUCCCAAUACUCAGGAGUCUGAGGCAGGAGGAUCACAAAGUAAACAGACAGACAGCUAUCUGACUAGGCUACAUAGCAGGACCUGUAAGACAGAACAAAGGGAAAAGCAGACAAGGGCUUGAACAGACAUCCCCCACCGAAGGACAGAGGAUGGCCGAUGCAGACCUGGAAAGAUGUUCACCGAGCGUGGGUCACAGGGACGGGAGAUGGCACCCCCCUCAUGUGAGUGUCAUAAAAUGCAAUACCUUAUGACCAGCGAGCUCACUUCUGACUGUGUAUCCAAAAGAGCCCAGCCAGGAUCUUGGGGGAAACCAUUGCAUGGCCUCAUUGUGACCAAUGCUGUGUAUGGAAGCAGCUGACUGCCCCAUGGACAGUGUUUGGGUAGAUAGUGUGAUACCUGUGAUAGAGUAAGGGACAUGCUUGGGUAGACAGUGCGUGGACAUACCUGUGAUGGAGUACUUCACCUUAGAAACAACUAAGUCUUGUCAUAUGAGACAACAGGACUCAGCCUGGCAGACACCAGGGAGACCAGCCAGUCACCGAGGGAAAUACGUGGGUCCACCCAGGUCAGCUGUGUCCAGACAUCAAGAUCUAAAGACUCAAAAUUGUGCAAACCUGAAGCAGAACAAGGGUUGGUGGGAAGAGGGACUGAGAAGUGGCUGUCAUCUGAAGUAGCCGAGGGAGCCUACUAAGUCCUUCCGCCCCUGGGUAUUCAGAAGUCGCCAACUACACACAAGCCCUUGCUCUUGGGCUUUGAAUCUUCUAAAGCUGUGAGCGAGACAUCACAAGAGUUUAUCAUUUCCUCUAGGGAUUUGUUACAGCGUUUGGUGUGGACUAAGACAGGGUCAGAACAGCCAGCAGCAAUGGUACAGUAGCCAUGCUAGUUUCUUGGCCUACAUUUUGAUUGAUUGAUUGAUUGAUUGAUUGAUACUCAUGUUCAUGCACUUUGAAUGCAUGCCUGCCUGUGUGAGCUCAUGUACCACACAGUGUAUGUCUGGAGACCAGAGGGAACUUGUGGGAGUCAGUUCUCUCCUCCACCACGUAGGUCCUGGGGAGUGACCUUGGGUGUCAGGCUUGGCAGCAAGAACCUUUGCCCUCUCAGUCAUCAAACUGGCCCCAGUUUCUUGGCACUAAUCAAUGGCCACCGGACGAUGUUCAAAGCGGGAGAAGCUGGUUGUAGGGGGGCUUCUCUGUCUUAGCUUGCCUGGCAGGCUAGCCUGGGCCAUUCUCUGCUGUGGGUAUCACCACUGGUGUCAUGCAGCGUUUACUGGGGUCCCCAUCCUGAUCCACUAGGUGCCUGUAAGAUGCCCAGUUUUGACGAUCACAGGUGUCCUCUGCUCCCGAUGAGACCAGAGACCUCACUGCUCCCUUUGUAGCAUCCUCUAAGUCUGCAAAUAUUCCAGAGUGAAAGUGCUUAGCUUCAAUGUGGCAACCCAUGUCUGCAAUCCCAGCACCAGGAAGCUGAUGCAGAGUCGCAAGCUUUGGUCCAGCCUGGGCUACAUAAUGAAGUUAAAGUGGGGAAACUGCCAGAUGCUGGCCGAGUCGCCUCUCCUGAUCAAUACAGGAAGACAUGAACUAGGAAACGAGGGGACUCAAGGCAACAGAGCCCAAGGGUACAAACUGUACGACGAGGCUCAGUUUUAUUAUUAUACCCCAUCUGAUAACAGUUAUGAGACGACAGGUCAGCAAGGAAGCCUGGUUCACAGGCAGCAUCUUCAAGGGAAUAUAAAGCAUGGAAUUAUUAUUUUUUCUUCAGAAAAACAUCUGAGGUGUGGGAACAUCAUUUGCCAUGACUAUUCUUUAGAAAUUGAGGAAGGUCACAGGCAUUCCUGUGUUCCUUCCCAUAUCCGUUGGCAUUCUAAAUUCUCUUCUUGAGAAAUAUGAAAAUGGGAUGUUCCCAUGCCAUAUAUUCGUUCUACGCUCACAUAACCUCAAGUCAAACUCUAAGUCCAUGGGAAAGCAUUCAAGGGAUGGGUACUUGUCGACACAUGCAUUUCAGUAUUGUUCCUCCCACUACUCACCCACCUCAGGCACCCUUUCUCGGUCCUGUCAGACACCCUCCAUGCCCCACAACUGAGCAGUCAGGCCACCCUCUGCCUCUCUGCCCUGGCUAACUUGACCCUCAGACAUGAAGCAGUUUCAAAAGUGAGGUGCAAGUCGGGUGUGGUGGCGCUCACUGUAAUCUCAGCAUUUAUCGAAGGUUCCCUCAUCCUCAGCUCUACAGUGAAUCCACGGCCAGCCUGACCUACAGGGACCCUGUGUCAAAGCAAACGCACAAACUGAUGAACACCGUCAGAGCCCCGCCUUUCGUCCACCGGAACAUGCCUACAUCUAAAUGAAGUUUCCAAGAUUCAUUACAGAGUGAGAAAAGCUAGUGCAGAGGCGGCGAACAGGACGAAAUCCUACGUGUGUAAAGAAUAAGAAAGCAGAAGACCCACGCCAGUCAUUUGUGCAUGAACAUGUCCGUAAGGACCACCAGGAGCCUCUCCUCAUGGUUGUCCGGGGAGCUGCAGGAGAAGAAGACAGACCCUGGACUUGAACUCAGUGGCCUCCGGCUGGGCCCCCAGAUGCCCCUUCUUGUCCUGGUGGCUCUCUGGCUUUUCCUGAGCAGAGCUCUGGGGAUGUCACGAUAGGUUUCUAAAGUAGCACAUCUGGGGGUGGGAGGGUUAAAACCACAGCGUCCUUCAAGCUAAUCACCGUGACAGAGUGCAUUAGAUGCUCAAGUGUUGCUGUGACAAGUGCCUGGCGAGAAGGAGCUGAAGGGGAGGAGGGUGAAUUUCAGCUCAGAGUUUGAAGGGAUACAGUCCAUCAUGGUGGGGAAGGAACGGCGGUAGGAGAGAGGUAGCUGGUCACAUUGAAUCCCGUCAGGGGCAGGAGAGAGAUGAAUAAUGGCCCCUUCCUCCCUUUUAUUCAGUCCAGAACCAUAACCUGUGACAUGUGUUCAGGGUGUCUUCCACCUCAGUAAAGCCUAUCUAGAAACUCCCUCACAGACAGGCCCAGAGUUUUUUUCCAUGGUGACUCUAGACCCUGCCAGGUUGACAACCAAUGUUAAUCAUCACAUAUGGCGAAACACUGCCUUAUGUUAGCCGGGAGGUGGUGGUGCACACCUUUAAUUCCAGCACUCGGGAGGUAGAGGCAGGAGGAUCUCUAUGAGUUCAAGGUCAGAUUGGUCUACAGAGCAAGUUCCAGGACAGACAGAGCUGUUACACAGAUAAACCCUGUCUCAAAAAAAACCACAAAAACAAGCAAACAAAACAAAUCCAGGGACUUAGAAUGCUGCACCCUCAUACAACAAGUAUCCCAUGUGUUUUUUCUCCAGUCACAGUCAACUCUGGCGUGAGAGAAGUUGGGAGUGAGGAGAGGACAGACACAAACACACCAAGAGGUUGUCUAUCACAGCUGUAGAGGAGUGACAGGACACUGGUCCAGCGCCUCUGAACAGAGUUCUGACCCGAGCUGCUGACCCAGAAGAUGGAAUGAAAAGAUAGAUAGACUGGAAAGUUCAUUCUGGCUUAAUCCAGGUGGAAUUUCAUCAGAGCUCCUGGAGAGUUGGACAGCAGAGCGAUGGGGAGGGAGCUGAGGCGGGAGGACAGCCCUUCCCCAGGCGGGCAGGCUUCGAAGGGAGGUGGAGAGUGGGCUGCUGCCACAGGGCUCCCUGUGACCCAGCCUUAGGACAAAGGGCGGGACCUCCUGUCUUCCUUCUCCAGGAAGUGAUUAGGCCGACAGACCUGUUGUCCUCUUGAGGAGCAGCUACCGCGGAUGUAAUUACCCAUUCACUCUGUUAUUAGCUGGGGUAAGAGACAGAGAUGCUCGCCCUGCUCCUGCAUUUCAAAGCUUACUCACACGCCCGCAUCCCUGAUAUUAAACACAAUGAGACUUUUUUGAAUUCAAUUAA